GUGGCUGUGGCUCAGGUGGUAGAGCGGUCAUCUACCAAUUGGAAGGUCGGUUUGAUUCCCUGGUCCU
rnacentral:tRNA from 1 species